rnacentral:tRNA from 1 species
GCUGGUGUAGCUCAGUUGGUAGAGCAGCUGAUUUGUAAUCAGCAGGUCGCGGGUUCGACUCCUGUCACCAGCUCCA